CCUACGGGUGGCAGCAGUGGGGAAUAUUGCACAAUGGGGGGAACCCUGAUGCAGCAAUGCCGCGUGGGUGAAGAAGCACUCCGGUGCGUAAAGCCCUGUCAGCAGGGAAGAAAAUGACAGUACCUGGACAAGAAGCCCCGGCUAACUACGUGCCAGCAGCCGCGGUAAUACGUAGGGGGCAAGCGUUAUCCGGAUUUACUGGGUGUAAAGGGAGCGCAGGCGGCGUGGCAAGUCAGAUGUGAAAACCCGGGGCCAAACCCCGGGAGUGCAUUUGAAACUGCCAUGCUGGAGUGUGUGAGAGGAUAGUGGAAUUCCAGGUGUAGGAGUGAAAUCCGUAGAUAGCUGGAGGAACAUCAGUGGCGAAGGCGACUAUCUGGCACAUAACUGACGCUGAGGAGCGAAAGCGUGGGUAGCAAACAGGAUUAGAUACCCUUGUAGUC
rnacentral:rRNA from 1 species